CUGAGUCUAUGCUGAGACAUCUGAAAGAGCUACCUUGUCUAAAGAGAAAUGCUUCUUCCUCUUUAUCAUGACAUUUCAAUAAAAUCCUUGAGCUUUAUUACGCAACAUAUAUUUCUCUUUUUUAAACGACCACAUUAAAUAAAUUAAAAUGGAAAUGAUGUGAACUGUAUAAUGAUGUGACAGUCAAGAGACCACAUCAUUUCCGUAGUUAAAAUUAUGGAAUUCUCACAUUCGGCGCAGAUCUGUGAUCAGUAACUUCGGUCCAGCAGUGCUCCAGCAGCCUGUAGUGCUCCUUUCAUUUGUGUGUAAUGCUGCAGGGGUUGUACAUUGCUCACAACGUGCAAAAUUGCAGCUGAUUCUUGUUUAUUGCAUUCUUUUAGAGUUGUAUCACUAUGUAAACAACUUUGAACUGCACUUGUAAGAAACUACAACUUAUACUUGAGCGAGAGUAGUUAGUAUAGAGAAUUUUACUUUUUCUUUUUUGCAAAAGCCUAUCAGUGUUAAAACAUAUCCUGUCAUCAAUAACAUCCUGACAUUGUUAAAUCAGAAAUAAAAUGAAAAAUAUUUGUCUUUGGUCAGCGGGAACUAUACGCAGUGCUCAAAGUAAGCCGGUACUCACCGGUACGCCGUACCGGCACCUCUACAUUUUACACUUAAAGGUGUGACACACACCCACACACACACACACACACACACUAGGGUACUGGCACCUUUUUUUCCACUUCAAGCACUGGCUAUACAACAAUAACUUAUAUUAGGAGAGGUACCACUCAAAAGUACAUUGUAUGGAU